GCGGGAGUGGCGGAACUGGCAGACGCGCCGGACUUAGGAUCCGGUGCCCGUAAGGGCGUGCGGGUUCGACUCCCGCCUCCCGCACUA
rnacentral:tRNA from 2 species